GAUCCUGGCUCAGGAUGAACGCUAGCUACAGGCUUAACACAUGCAAGUCGAGGGGAAACGAUAUUGGAAGCUUGCUUCCGAUAGGCGUCGACCGGCGCACGGGUGAGUAACGCGUAUCCAACCUGCCCACCACUUGGGGAUAACCUUGCGAAAGUAAGACUAAUACCCAAUGAUAUCUCUAGAAGACAUCUGAAAGGGAUUAAAGAUUUAUCGGUGAUGGAUGGGGAUGCGUCUGAUUAG
rnacentral:rRNA from 1 species